rnacentral:misc_RNA from 1 species
AAGUCGUAACAAGGUUUCCGUAGGUGAACCUGCGGAAGGAUCAUUAAUGAAUUGUAGAGUGGCCUUAACAUCACAUCUGUGGGCUUGCCCGGGGUUUGUGAUGUCGGCGCUCGACCUCAUUUCCAACUCUGUGCAUCUUAUUAUGUCCGUGCCGCAGUUAACUCUGCCACGGACUCACCUUACAAACACUAGUCAAAGAAUGUAUAUAAAUUAAAAACAAAUAAAACUUUCAACAACGGAUCUCUUGGCUCUC